GGUCCCCUGCGGUGUUCGUGAGGAUCCAUCAUCCUCCUGAGCCGAUACUUUUGAGCCCAGGAUCCCCGCCCUGACCGUGGAGUGCGAGUCCCCAGGGACUUGCCAGAAGCGGUCACCCGGGAAUCCACCUUUAAAACUGGGUUCGAGAGGCUGUGAUCCCACGGCACAAGUGGGGGUUUG
rnacentral:other from 1 species